rnacentral:rRNA from 1 species
CCAAUAGCGUAUAUUAAAGUUGUUGCAGUUAAAAAGCUCGUAGUUGAAUUUCGGAAUCUGUCCAUCGGUCGGGCUUCACUGUCCGUACUGGUGUGGUGGGUUCCUACCUUCUGAAUAACCAGCAUGCCAUUAAUUUGGUGCGUUGGGGAAGCAGGACUAUUACCUUGAAAAAAUUAGAGUGCUCAAAGCAGGCCAGUGCCUGAAUACAUUAGCAUGGAAUAAUAAAAUAGGACGGCAUGGUUCUAUUUUGUUGGUUUCUAGGAUCACCGUAAUGAUUAAUAGGGAUAGUUGGGGGCAUUAGUAUUCAAUUGUCAGAGGUGAAAUUCUUGGAUUUAUUGAAGACUAACUUCUGCGAAAGCAUUUGCCAAGGAUGUUUUCAUUAAUCAAGAACGAAAGUUAGGGGAUCGAAGACGAUCAGAUACCGUCGUAGUCUUAACCAUAAACUAUGCCGACUAGGGAUCGGACGAUGUUAAUUUUUUAAUGACUCGUUCGGCGCCUUACG